rnacentral:rRNA from 1 species
GACGAACGCUGGCGGCGUGCUUAACACAUGCAAGUCGAACGGAAAGGCCCUGCUUUUGUGGGGUGCUCGAGUGGCGAACGGGUGAGUAACACGUGAGUAACCUGCCCUUGACUUUGGGAUAACUUCAGGAAACUGGGGCUAAUACCGGAUAGGAGCUCCUGCUGCAUGGUGGGGGUUGGAAAGUUUCGGCGGUUGGGGAUGGACUCGCGGCUUAUCAGCUGGUUGGUGGGGUAGUGGCUUACCAAGGCUUUGACGGGUAGCCGGCCUGAGAGGGUGACCGGCCACAUUGGGACUGAGAUACGGCCCAGACUUCUACGGGAGGCAGCAGUGGGGAAUAUUGCACAAUGGGCGGAAGCCUGAUGCAGCAACGCCGCGUGCGGGAUGACGGCCUUCGGGUUGUAAACCGCUUUCGCCUGUGACGAAGCGUGCGUGACGGUAAUGGGUAAAGAAGCAACGGCUAACUACGUG